GGUGAUAUCACCUGUGGAUGCCCAUCCGGGCUUCUCGGGUUUCGCAGGAUCUUCUCUACCAUGAGAGGCUAGGACCAAAUCCUGAUCACAUCAAAUUUAACUACAAUUCUGCUCAUCUGAUACAUUGGUGUCACCACAACGUGUCAUCUCAGAUGAAUCCAUAUUUGUUUGGCACAGUUUUACGCCGGAUGCCCUUCCAGCCGCAACCCCUCUGCAUGCUCGCCGGGGAGAGAAGCUUACAGCACCUGGUAUUCCCGAGCGGUCUCCCAUCCAAGUACUAACCAGAGCCAAACCCGCUGAGUUUCCAAGAUCUGACGAGAUCGGGCUUUCUCAGGGGGUGCUGUAAGUGUGAGGAAAAAUGGUCGGUGACUGGCGGCGGGGGACAGCAUGCAAGGAAAGGGAGAACAUGCAAACUUCACACUGGAAGGCCGCAGCCCAGACUCAAACCCCCAACAUCAGAGCUGUCAGGACAACUUGCUGAGUGUCAAUUUAGAAGCAAAUGUGCAUCAUACUGGGGAGGAUAAAUGUUGAUUGAACAACUGAAGAAUUCUCUUAAUUCAAACUGAUUCAUCCAUCUUGAUCCUCCCUACUUUUUCUUUUCUUUUUUGUGGGGAGGAUAUCAAGCAGUGGCAAAAAGUUGACUAUUUCUGUCUCUUUGAUCUGCGCACACACAAGUGAGAGUUCAUUUCCAUUUUUGAUUUUCCUCUUCCUUUCUGUAAGAGUGCCAGCAUCAAGAUUUUUACCUUGGUGUGCAAAUGUGCUGGAAUAGGUUAAAAGGAAAGCUCGCUGCUCUCUCAAAGCACAAGUGCAGAUGUUAUGAAGUUAAUUAAAAAUUUAGCGAUUCCUUUCUCCCAUCCCAAUUUAGGCUGCAUCAAAUAGGAGAAAACAGACGGAAAAACGACUUAUGAGGGAAGUCCUUGCAGGCGGUCUGGCUUGGCGAUUGUGUGCCAAAACCUUCUGUAAUGUCAAAGUUCAGCAUGUAAUGAAGAUGUUAUCCAACGUUUGUCCAUUUUCAUACAGCGUGCGUUGGGGAUGUAGGCUACGGCCUUAAUUUAAUGUGACUAUAUUCUCAAGUGUGGUACAAGUACCAAUAGUGGUACACUAGCUGAUUUAACUUCUAUGUGAAAGAAAAAAAAAUACUGAAUUAAAUGUUCAAAGUGUAUAUAAUGUUACAGUGGUUUAAACUUUUUGUUUUUAUUUCAGUACAGUACAUGUAAGUACAGUUCAGGUGUAUUUAGCUUUAAGUUUUUAGUUCAAUAUAUAUGCAUUUAACAUUUUAAUAGUUUGUUUUCAAACAUGUUGUUACCAUCCAAAUUUGAUUUAACAUUUGCAUGUAAUCCUUUUUAAAUGAAUCAUUAAAAUGAUUGAAUCUUUUUUUGUGUGUGUUUAAGCAGAGUCUUAAUGGUAAAAAUGUUCAUCAUGUUACAGUGACUUACAAUAAUAUUAAAUAAAACUUUCAGAAAUACAACUACUGCUUCAUUUUUAGAUGA